rnacentral:rRNA from 1 species
UACGAAGGGGGCUAGCGAUGUUCGGAAUCACUGGGCGUAAAGCGCACGCAGGCAGAUAGAUAAGUCGGGGGUGAAAGCCCGGGGCUCAACCUCGGAAUUGCCUUCGAUACUGUCGGUCUCGAGUCCGGGAGAGGUGAGUGGAAUUCCUAGUGUAGAGGUGAAAUUCGUAGAUAUUAGGAAGAACACCAGUGGCGAAGGCGGCUCACUGGCCCGGUACUGACGCUCAGGUGCGAAAGCGUGGGGAGCAAACAGG